rnacentral:rRNA from 1 species
AAUGAACGCUGGCGGCGCGCCUAAUACAUGCAAGUCGAGCGAGAAGACGUAGCAAUACGUUUGUAAAGCGGCGAACGGGUGAGGAAUACAUGGGUAACCUACCCUCGAGUGGGGAAGUAACUAGCCGAAAGGUUAGCUAAUACCGCGUACGCUCCUUGGACUUCGGUUCAGGGAGGAAAGCGAUACCGUGGGUAUCGCGCUCUUGGAUGGGCUCAUGUCCUAUCAGCUUGUUGGGAGGUAACGGCUCACCAAGGCUUCGACGGGUAGCUGGUCUGAGAGGACGAUCAGCCACACUGGCACUGCGACACGGGCCAGACUCCUACGGGAGGCAGCAGUAAGGAAUAUUGCGCAAUGGGCG